rnacentral:rRNA from 1 species
GACGAACGCUGGCGGCGUGCUUAACACAUGCAAGUCGAGCGGUAAGGCCCUUUCGGGGGUACACGAGCGGCGAACGGGUGAGUAACACGUGGGUGACCUGCCCUCAGCUCCGGGAUAAGCCUGGGAAACCGGGUCUAAUACCGGAUAUGACUCCAUGACGCAUGUUGUGGGGUGGAAAGCCUUGUGCGGCUGAGGAUGGGCCCGCGGCCUAUCAGCUUGUUGGUGGGGUGAUGGCCACCAAGGCGACGACGGGUAGCCGGCCUGAGAGGGCGACCGGCCACACUGGGACUGAGACACGGCCCAGACUCCUACGGGAGGCAGCAGUGGGGAAUCUUGCGCAAUGGGCGAAAGCCUGACGCAGCGACGCCGCGUGAGGGAUGACGGCCUCGG